GACGAACGCUGGCGGCGUGCUUAACACAUGCCAGUCGAACGGAAAGGCCCUGCUUUUGUGGGGUGCUCGAGUGGCGAACGGGUGAGUAACACGUGAGUAACCUGCCCUUGACUUUGGGAUAACUUCAGGAAACUGGGGCUAAUACCGGAUAGGAGCUCCUGCUGCAUGGUGGGGGUUGGAAAGUUUCGGCGGUUGGGGAUGGACGCGCGGCUUAUCAGCUUGUUGGUGGGGUAGUGGCUUACCAAGGCUUUGACGGGUAGCCGGCCUGAGAGGGUGACUGGCCACAUUGGGACUGAGAUACGGCCCAGACUCCUACGGGAGGCAGCAGUGGGGAAUAUUGCACAAUGGGCGGAAGCCUGAUGCAGCAACGCCGCGUGCGGGAUGACGGCCUUCGGGUUGUAAACCGCUUUCGCCUGUGACGAAGCGUGAGUGACGGUAAUGGGUAAAGAAGCACCGGCUAACUACGUG
rnacentral:rRNA from 1 species